AGAGUUUGAUCCUGGCUCAGAUUGAACGCUGGCGGCAGGCUUAACACAUGCAAGUCGAACGGUAGCAGGAAGAAAGCUUGCUUUCUUUGCUGACGAGUGGCGGACGGGUGAGUAAUGCUUGGGAAUCUGGCUUAUGGAGGGGGAUAACUGUGGGAAACUGCAGCUAAUACCGCGUAUUCUCUGAGGAGGAAAGGGUGGGACCUUAGGGCCACCUGCCAUAAGAUGAGCCCAAGUGGGAUUAGGUAGUUGGUGGGGUAAAGGCCUACCAAGCCUGCGAUCUCUAGCUGGUCUGAGAGGAUGACCAGCCACACUGGAACUGAGACACGGUCCAGACUCCUACGGGAGGCAGCAGUGGGGAAUAUUGCGCAAUGGGGGGAACCCUGACGCAGCCAUGCCGCGUGAAUGAAGAAGGCCUUCGGGUUGUAAAGUUCUUUCGGUAAUGAGGAAGGGAUGUUGUUAAAUAGAUAGCAUCAUUGACGUUAAUUACAGAAGAAGCACCGGCUAACUCCGUGCCAGCAGCCGCGGUAAUACGGAGGGUGCGAGCGUUAAUCGGAAUAACUGGGCGUAAAGGGCACGCAGGCGGACUUUUAAGUGAGAUGUGAAAUCCCCGAGCUUAACUUGGGAACUGCAUUUCAGACUGGGAGUCUAGAGUACUUUAGGGAGGGGUAGAAUUCCACGUGUAGCGGUGAAAUGCGUAGAGAUGUGGAGGAAUACCGAAGGCGAAGGCAGCCCCUUGGGAAUGUACUGACGCUCAUGUGCGAAAGCGUGGGGAGCAAACAGGAUUAGAUACCCUGGUAGUCCACGCUGUAAACGCUGUCGAUUUGGGGAUUGGGCUAUAUGCUUGGUGCCCGAAGCUAACGUGAUAAAUCGACCGCCUGGGGAGUACGGCCGCAAGGUUAAAACUCAAAGGAAUUGACG
rnacentral:rRNA from 1 species